ACAGGGAUUGCCCUAGUAACGGCGAGUGAAGCGGCAACAGCUCAAAUUUGAAAUCUGGCGUCUUUGGCGUCCGAGUUGUAAUUUGCAGAGGGCGCUUUGGCAUUGGCAGCGGUCCAAGUUCCUUGGAACAGGACGUCACAGAGGGUGAGAAUCCCGUACGUGGUCGCUAGCCUCUACCGUGUAAAGCCCCUUCGACGAGUCGAGUUGUUUGGGAAUGCAGCUCUAAAUGGGAGGUAAAUUUCUUCUAAAGCUAAAUACUGGCCAGAGACCGAUAGCGCACAAGUAGAGUGAUCGAAAGAUGAAAAGCACUUUGGAAAGAGAGUUAAAAAGCACGUGAAAUUGUUGAAAGGGAAGCGCUUGCAGCCAGACUUGCCUGUAGUUGCUCAUCCGGGUUUUUACCCGGUGCACUCUUCUACGGGCAGGCCAGCAUCAGUUUGGGCGGUUGGAUAAAGGUCUCUGUCAUGUACCUCUCUUCGGGGAGAACUUAUAGGGGAGACGACAUGCAACCAGCCUGGACUGAGGUCCGCGCAUCUGCUAGGAUGCUGGCGUAAUGGCUGUAAGCGGCCCGUCUUGAAACACGGACCAAGGAGUCUAACAUCUAUGCGAGUGUUUGGGUGUCAAGCCCGAGCGCGUAAUGAAAGUGAACGGAGGUGGGAACCUUUCGGGGUGCACCAUCGACCGAUCCUGAUGUCUUCGGAUGGAUUUGAGUAAGAGCAUAGCUGUUGGGACCCGAAAGAUGGUGAACUAUGCUUGAAUAGGGUGAAGCCAGAGGAAACUCUGGUGGAGGCUCGCAGCGGUUCUGACGUGCAAAUCGAUCGUCAAAUUUGGGCAUAGGGGCGAAAGACUAAUCGAACUAUCUAGUAGCUGGUUCCUGCCGAAGUUUCCCUCAGGAUAGCAGUAACGUUUUCAGUUUUAUGAGGUAAAGCGAAUGAUUAGAGGCCUGGGGGUUGAAACAACCUU
rnacentral:rRNA from 2 species